AGUGGCGGACGGGUGAGUAACACGUAAGAAUUUGCCUUUAGGAGGGGGAUAACAACUGGAAACGGUUGCUAAUACCCCAUAUGCUUUCGAGUGAAACGGUUUUUCCGCCUAAAGAGAAGCUUGCGGCUGAUUAGCUUGUUGGUGAGGUAAUGGCUCACCAAGGCGACGAUCAGUAUCUGGUUUGAGAGGACGAUCAGACACACUGGAACUGAGACACGGUCCAGACUCCUACGGGAGGCAGCAGUGGGGAAUUUUCCGCAAUGGGCGAAAGCCUGACGGAGCAAUACCGCGUGAGGGAUGAAUACCUAUGGGUUGUAAACCCCUUUUUUCAGGGAGGAAUAAAAUGACGUGUACCUGAAGAAUAAGCAUCGGCUAACUCCGUGCCAGCAGCCGCGGUAAGACGGGGGAUGCAAGUGUUAUCCGGAAUCACUGGGCGUAAAGCGUCUGUAGGUGGUUUAAUAAGUCAACUGUUAAAUCUUGAGGCUCAACCUCAAAACCGCAGUCGAAACUGUUUGACUAGAGUAUAGUAGGGGUAAAGGGAAUUUCCAGUGGAGCGGUGAAAUGCGUAGAGAUUGGAAAGAACACCAAUGGCGAAGGCACUUUACUGGGCUAUUACUAACACUGAGAGACGAAAGCUAGGGUAGCAAAUGGGAUUAGAUACCCCAGUAGUCCUAGCUGUAAACAAUGGAUACUAGAUGUU
rnacentral:rRNA from 1 species